GGAGAAGAAGUAACAGAAUGUAGAAUAUAGUGUUAUAGAGAAAGUGCUGCUUUAGUACAGCAGUGGGGGCUUUUGGAGAUUUUAUGGUUAAAAUGAUAUGAUACCAUCAGACUAAUUAUGUUAGACAUUAGCAGUCAAGAACUGCCAGCGUGGAAAGCUCAUUAAAGCACAAUGGGAAAGAACUCUGGUUCCGUCUGUCACUGGUUCCUUCCAGCUAGUGUGGAGAAUAAUCAAUUUUCUCACUACUCUACAAAUCCAGAUGCAGCUUAAAAUCCCUUACGGAGCAAAAAGGUGUGCAACAUUUACUGAUGCAGGAUUGGUGGACAUCCAGUUAGCAAGUGCAUUCAUGAAGCAUAACAACAAGCAAGGAAUGCUUUUCUGAGAAAUAUGCUACUGAAUUUUCCGCCUUCCACCCAGCAGCUCUGUGGUCAGGAAAGAUCUAUACGAUGCUCUUGAAAACAAACCUUUUAAGUUGAAUAAUGUUCAAUAAAACAUGGAGCUCUUCCUCACUGCACUGGAUGACAGAUAUGCCCACACAAUGAGAUUUACAGGAAGGUGGUUCCUGCUCGGCUUUGCUGCCUGCCACACUUCCUACAGUGCCCUUAGGUCAGCUGCAGGGUCAUCAGCCAGAGACCAUCAUUCAUCGAUGUUUCGCUGCCUUAGCGCUGGUACAUCUCCUGAUGCUGACUAGUCUGUGCAGCAUUUUCUGUUUGAAGAAAACAUUAAGCUGGAUCCCACUGUUUGAAGAAAACGAGCUAUACAAAUCUUGGCAUUUCACAAAUAUACAAUUUGCAAACAACAUUCAGAGCUUCAAAAGAAUCGAUUUGUUUUUGAAUAUGUGUGCCAACAAUGAAAACAAUGUUUGUUUCAUAAUUUACUGCUGUUACAAACUGCCUGAUUUAUUUGCCCUUUUAGUGAGUAAGGUUGUACAUAGGCAAACAAGAAUGAUAGGCUAUUUACUGCUUCUCCUCUUAGAGUCAUAGAACACUGCAGUGCAUAAAAAGACCCUUUGGCCCAUCUAGUCUGUGCUAAACUAUCAAUCUGCUUAGUCCCAUCAAGCUGCACCUGGACCAUAACCCUCCAUUCUCCUCCCAUUACUGCACCUAUCCAAAUUUCUUUUAAAUUUUGAGAUCAAACCCCCCAUCCACCACUUCCACUGGCAGCUCAUUCCAGUCUCUUUCAGUUAAUCAGCAUUGAUCAGUGGGAGUACAGCAAGACAGCAUCCAAAAUAUUUGGGGUUGGAGCAUCUGAUUGCAUGUUACAGAAUCAGGUUCAUUAUCACUAUCUUGUGGUACAGUGCAAAUGUCUAGGGCACAAAUCUAUAGAUAGGGUAUCUGAGACUUUUGCACGGUACUGUAGUAAUUUUAUGUAUUAAACUGUACUACUACUGCAAAAAGAAAAAAAUUUUGUGAUGUGAGUGAUGAUAAACCUGAUUUUGAUUAAGAUCUCUAUUGUAACUGUAAGUGGAAAGGAGGCAGGGAGAGGGGGAUCAUGGUUGAGAAAAGGGGAAGGGAGAGAGGAGGGAGCGAGAAGGACCAGAGAGACAUUCUGUACUGAUCAAUAAACCAAUUGUUUACAAUCAAAUAACCUUGCCUGGUGCCAGAACCAGGUGUGUCUGCACCCACACUACCCGCCCCUAGCACUCUUUCUCUGCCACCUAUCACACAACCCUCCCCUGGGGCUCCAUCGUCACCAUUCCUAACAUCCUUUGCUCCUGCCAGAUUUAAAACUUGCUCUCCACUUCGCAUUGAUACAUACAGUAUCGUGCAAAAGUCUUAGGCAUCCUAGCUAUAUAUAUGCACUUAAGGUGUUUGCACAAUACUGCAUAUAACAAGAAAUCUGUUGUUUUGCAGCAGUAGUUGAGUGAAAAUACAUAACAAUUUCUAAAUAUUAGGAAGUAGUACAAAGAAGCCCAUAGAGUUAAUCCAUAAUUUUGCAGAAGAAUAAAAAAAACAAAUCUGCAAUAUGGAAAGUUGUUGCAUAACUCUUACGUUUUUGACAGUUUCUAUAUCACCGCUAAAUUUGUGGUUUCUGUUGUUUAACUUGCUAACACAAAUUAUGUAGGUUAUGAAAACUGGACCGAAUGAAAGUGUUUGUUACACUUGGAAAGACUUUAUUCACUCAUAAAGCGUAGUCGUCCAGAUGAUUUGGAUUUACUCUGGAAUUGGAAAAACAUCAGAUUCAAUUUAUUUUGACUGUCUUACAUAACAUGAGAUUUGUUGUUUUGCUGCAGAAGUUCAGUGAAAAGACAUAAAAAUACUAUAAAUUACAAAAUAAGUAAACCAAUAAAUCAAAUUAAAAGGAAUAAUGAAGUAUUCUUCAUGGGGUCGUGGACCAUUCAAAAAUCUAAUGGUGGAGAGGAAGAAGCUGUCCUGAAUAAUUGAGUUUGAGUCGUUGGUCUCCUGUACCUCCUCUUUGAAUGUAGAAAAUGGUAGGACAUGCCCUAGAUGGUGAAGACCCUCAAUGACGGAUGCUGCACUUUUGAGGCACUGCCUCUUGAAGAUGGUUUUGCUGAUGGGAAGCUCUGCAACACUCUGCAGCCUUUUGCAAUCAUGUGCAAUGAAAUUACCACAUCAGAUUGUGUUGCAACCAGUCAGAAAGCUCUCCACCUGUAGAAAUUUACGGGAGUCUGCUACGUUUUGUGGCUUCAAAAUAUUAAACUAAUUGAAAGGAAGUCACGGGAGUCCAAAAUGCAGGUCCAACUUCGAGUUUAUUUUACACGAGGUGCACACGUGGUAUUAUGAUGACUUACGCAACUGACGAAUCUUUACAUAUAACCUUUAAUUACUUAUUUAAAUGAGCAAGAAUGUUUAAUCAACCAAUAUAGACACAAGAUUACUCAAAUAUUACAUAAAUAUUACAUACGCAACAUCCUUAGCAACUUACCAAACCGCCUCAAGAUCUUAACAAAGCAGAGCUGUUGGCAUACCUUCUUCAUUAUUGAAUUUAUGUGUUGAGCCCAGGACAGAUCCUCUGAAAUGUUGACGUCAAGGAACUUAGAGCUGUUCAACCUUUCUUUCCACUGCUGACACCUCAAUGAGGACUGGGUGUCUUCGUAAGUCCUCAGUCAAUUCCUCCUUCCUGUUGAUGCUGUGUGCGAGGUUGUUGUUGCACAACAGUCAACCAGUUGAUCUAUCUUGAUCUUGUACGCCUUCUUUUCACCAUCUGAGAUUUUACCAACAACAGUGGUGUCAUCUGCUAACUUAUAAAUGGUGAUUGAGCUAUAUUUGGCUACACAGUCUUGAGUGUAGAGGGUAGAGGAACAAUUUAAUGAAACUUAGCUUGACCUUUUAUGUUCUCUUUCUGACAAAGAUUGUAUGCAUUUUAUAAUAAAAAUGAAUGUUA